rnacentral:rRNA from 1 species
GACGUAGGGCGCGAGCGUUGUCCGGAUUUAUUGGGCGUAAAGAGCUCGUAGGCGGCUUGUCGCGUCGUCCGUGAAAACUUGGGGCUCAACCCCAAGCUUGCGGUCGAUACGGGCAGGCUAGAGUUCGGUAGGGGAGACUGGAAUUCCUGGUGUAGCGGUGAAAUGCGCAGAUAUCAGGAGGAACACCGAUGGCGAAGGCAGGUCUCUGGGCCACUACUGACGCUGAGGAGCGAAAGUGUGGGGAGCGAACAGG